ACGUAGUUUGGCAGAGCGCACGACUCUUAAUCGUGUGGUCGAGGGUUCGAUCCCCUCACUAGGUG
rnacentral:tRNA from 1 species